UGGGGAAUUUUGGGCAAUGGGCGAAAGCCUGACCCAGCAACGCCGCGUGCAGGAUGAAGGCCCUCGGGUCGUAAACUGCUGUCGGGAGGGAAGAAAAGCAGCGGGAGGAAAUGACCGCUGCCUGACGGUACCUCCAAAGGAAGCGCCGGCUAACUCCGUGCCAGCAGCCGCGGUAAUACGGAGGGCGCAAGCGUUGUUCGGAAUUAUUGGGCGUAAAGAGCUCGUAGGCGGUUCGGUAAGUCAGGUGUUAAAACUCCAGGCUCAACUUGGAGAGGCCACCUGAUACUGCCAUGACUAGAGUUCGGUAGAGGAGCACGGAAUUCCUGGUGUAGCGGUGAAAUGCGCAGAUAUCAGGAGGAACACCAGCGGCGAAGGCGGUGCUCUGGGCCGACACUGACGCUGAGGAGCGAAAGCGUGGGUAGCGAACAGGAUUAGAUACCCGGGUAGUCCCUGAGCGGGCUGGCAAGGCGCAU
rnacentral:rRNA from 1 species